UCCCGCAACGAGCGCAACCCCUGUCCUUUGUUGCCAGCACGUAAUGGUGGGAACUCAAGGGAGACUGCCGGUGAUAAACCGGAGGAAGGUGGGGAUGACGUCAAGUCAUCAUGGCCCUUACGGCCAGGGCUACACACGUGCUACAAUGGCGCGUACAGAGGGCUGCAAGCUAGCGAUAGUGAGCGAAUCCCAAAAAGCGCGUCGUAGUCCGGAUCGGAGUCUGCAACUCGACUCCGUGAAGUCGGAAUCGCUAGUAAUCGCGAAUCAGAAUGUCGCGGUGAAUACGUUCCCGGGCCUUGUACACACCGCCCGUCACACCAUGGGAGUGGGUUGCACCAGAAGUAGAUAGCUUAACCUUCGGGAGGGCGUUUACCACGGUGUGAUUCAUGACUGGGGUGAAGUCGUAACAGGGUAACC
rnacentral:rRNA from 1 species